CCAGAAUGCUCCGCUCCCGCCGGCCUCAACUGAAGAACGCUCAUAGCACAGAGACCCUGGACCACACUUCCCAGAAGUCUCCGCGUCAGCUCGCGGCAUCCCUGUGUGCUAGAUGUUGUGGAACAGUUGAAGAACACUUCUGGUAGUGGGUGUGGAAUUUGUGGCCGCUUCAGAUUGUCCACAGCUGCUGUGAUUUGCCUCGUGCUCCGGCAUCGGUGUGAUUUUACCAGCUGCGGAGACUUUGUGGAUGGCCUGACAUUUGGACUUCUGGGGACUUUUCAGAAUGCUGGGGCCCCAAGAGGGAUUCACUGCCCCCACCCUACCCCAAGAAGAAGGAGGAGGAAGAAGAUGAAGAGGAGGAAGAGAAAGGAAGCUAGCUUGUGACCAUUUUGUAUGGCUUGCCUGGAAACUUCUGUAAAUCUUAUGUUUUAAUAAAAAAAUUUUUUUGUUAUCCAAAAACGAAAAGAAAAAAUGGUCAAGUUCAUUUUGAGAAAGACUGGAUUCCAGGACAGCCAGGGUUACACAGAGCUAUCCCGUUUAAAACCAAAACCCAAUAAAACAAAACCAAAGAGAACUCCAUGAGAAAGACUGGAACUGGAAGACUCACACUGACUCCCAUCAAUCAUGAAGCUACGCCUUUGGAACAGCUCUGAUCACACAGUAUCAGGCAGAAUGACCCACAGGAGCAUCUGGGGACGCAGAGGCCAGGAAAAGAUGAACACACGGAUUUGUCAUACAAGUGUGACAGAAUUCAGUACUGAAAGGGCAGUGAACUGGAUGUCCGUAUGACCUCACACUGAUGCAAAGUUAGCCGAAACGGACCAGUCGUCGAUGAGAAACUUCAAAGGCAGCAGGGACAAAUGGACAAACAAAACCCAGAUCAGCUGCCAAGCCCCAUGUCCAGCAACUCACACCCAUCUGUAACCACAACUCCACAGGACCCGAGGACUGGCAGUGUGGCACCUGCUCGUGAUCGAUCAUAUGCAUGGAGACAGACACAUAUACAUAACUUCAAUUUGUAAAGCUUUCUGCAAAGCAUAGCCCUACUCUAUAACCCAGGAAUAGAUAUUUAUGGAUCUAAAUGCACUGUUAUAUUACAUAGAAAACAGUAUGACACACUCAUAGCCGUCUUCUUCAUAAAUCACCAAAUCUAGAAAUCCAAACAUUACCCAAGUAGUGAAAGAGUAUAUGGUCGUGGCAUAGCCACACAAAGGAAUGCUGUUCAGCAGCAAAGGAAUGAGAGGGGGUGAACUCAGUGUAGAACGUUUGCUUAGUAUGUGAAACUUGGGGUUCCAUCCCUAGUUACCCUCCCCCAAAAGACACAUAAACAACAACAUAGAUGAACUAAAGAACUCCACAAAGUGAAAACCUUAGAUUCAAAAGGCCACUUACUACAGGACUCCAUUUACAUCUUGGAAGAGGUAAACUAUUAGAAAGAAGCCAGAUCAGUGUUUGCUAUGGGUAAGAACGGGGACUAGAGAGGCUCUGGAGAAAGUCCUGGAGCUGUUCAAAAGCCUAACUGUGCCGGCUGGCCGGCAGCAUUUUUCAAAACUUAGAAUGACAUAUAAAAA